AUGGCCAAAUCACGUUCAAACACCGGUUCCCGUGCGAUCAUGGAAGUUAAGCAACUUCAAGCCUGGUCAGUACCUAGAUGGGUGAACGUUUUGGAAUACCAGAUGCUGUAAG